rnacentral:snoRNA from 1 species
UGCCUGGCAAUGGGCAAAGAGAAACCUGAUUGGUGGUGUUGCUCUUAUAUCAGUCAGGAGCAAAGCAAACAUACAGUCCUUAGUUCAGCCUAAUUUGAUGCCUGUGUUGGUGGCCAGAGUUGUUUUAUGCCUGGGAAACAUUU